ACGACGCUGGCGGCGUGCCUAAUACAUGCAAGUAGUACGCUGAAGAGAGGAGCUUGCUCUUCUUGGAUGAGUUGCGAACGGGUGAGUAACGCGUAGGUAACCUGCCUUGUAGCGGGGGAUAACUAUUGGAAACGAUAGCUAAUACCGCAUAACAAUGGAUGACACAUGUCAUUUAUUUGAAAGGGGCAAUUGCUCCACUACAAGAUGGACCUGCGUUGUAUUAGCUAGUAGGUGAGGUAACGGCUCACCUAGGCGACGAUACAUAGCCGACCUGAGAGGGUGAUCGGCCACACUGGGACUGAGACACGGCCCAGACUCCUACGGGAGGCAGCAGUAGGGAAUCUUCGGCAAUGGGGGCAACCCUGACCGAGCAACGCCGCGUGAGUGAAGAAGGUUUUCGGAUCGUAAGCUCUGUUGUAAGUCAAGAACGAGUGUGAGAGUGGAAAGUUCACACUGUGACGGUAGCU
rnacentral:rRNA from 1 species